rnacentral:rRNA from 1 species
GGCGGUUUGUCGCGUCUGCUGUGAAAGCCCGGGGCUCAACCCCGGGUCUGCAGUGGGUACGGGCAGACUAGAGUGCAGUAGGGGAGACUGGAAUUCCUGGUGUAGCGGUGAAAUGCGCAGAUAUCAGGAGGAACACCGAUGGCGAAGGCAGGUCUCUGGGCUGUUACUGACGCUGAGGAGCGAAAGCAUGGGGAGCGAACAGGAUUAGAUACCCUGGUAGUCCAUGCCGUAAACGUUGGGCACUAGGUGUGGGGGACAUUCCACGUUUUCCGCGCCGUAGCUAACGCAUUAAGUGCCCCGCCUGGGGAGUACGGCCGCAAGGCUAAAACUCAAAGGAAUUGACGGGGGCCCGCACAAGCGGCGGAGCAUGCGGAUUACUUCGAUGCAACGCGAAGAACCUUACCAAGGCUUGACAUUCACCGGACCGCCCCAGAGAUGGGGUUUCCCUUCGGGGCUGGUGGACAGGUGGUGCAUGGUUGUCGUCAGCUCGUGUCGUGAGAUGUUGGGUUAAGUCCCGCAACGAGCGCAACCCUCGUUCUAUGUUGCCAGCACGUGAUGGUGGGGACUCAUAGGAGACUGCCGGGGUCAACUCGGAGGAAGGUGGGGAUGACGUCAAAUCAUCAUGCCCCUUAUGUCUUGGGCUUCACGCAUGCUACAAUGGCCGGUACAAAGGGUUGCGAUACUGUGAGGUGGAGCUAAUCCCAAAAAGCCGGUCUCAGUUCGGAUUGAGGUCUGCAACUCGACCUCAUGAAGUCGGAGUCGCUAGU